UACCACGGCUGAGAUUGCUGUCGUUAAGCCGAACACAACGAUCACCGGAACAAGUGUAACACCAACCUUAAUCUAUUUCAAAAAAUACAUGAAAAUGAAGAUAGAUUCGAGAAGGAUGCCGACUCCAUUAAUGGUGACGAGAGGAAGAUUCUCCCAAAGAUGACUCACAAUCGGUAAACCGUACCAAGUAUAAAUCAAACAGUUGAAGAGUGUCAUAACGUAAGGAAAACAUGAGAAUUCCUCUGUGCUUUUCUUCUUAAACACCCUUGAAAAUGUUAAUCUACAUUAACAAAAAGAAAAUGUUAGUCAACAUGCCCACCAAUAAAAUAAUUAGAGGUUUUCAAAUUAAA